rnacentral:tRNA from 1 species
UAGUCCUGCGGUAUUUACGCUAGAGUGCAAAUCUAGAGACGAACCCUAACGGUGUUCCAGGGCUUCUUUUUUUCGAAGAAGCC